UACGUAGGGAGCAAGCGUUGUCCGGAAUCAUUGGGCGUAAAGCGCGCGUAGGUGGCCCUGUAAGUCCGUUGUGAAAGUCAAAGGCUCAACCUUUGAAAGCCGAUGGAUACUGCAGGGCUAGAGUACGGAAGAGGCGAGUGGAAUUCCUGGUGUAGCGGUGGAAUGCGCAGAUAUCAGGAAGAACACCCGUGGCGAAGGCGGCUCUCUGGGACGGUACUGACGCUGAGACGCGAAAGCGUGGGGAGCAAACAGG
rnacentral:rRNA from 1 species